GAUGAACGCUGGCGGCGUGCCUAAUACAUGCAAGUCGAGCGAACAGACGAGGAGCUUGCUCCUCUGACGUUAGCGGCGGACGGGUGAGUAACACGUGGAUAACCUACCUAUAAGACUGGGAUAACUUCGGGAAACCGGAGCUAAUACCGUAUAACAUGUUGAACCGCAUGGUUCAACAGUGAAAGACGGUCUUGCUGUCACUUAUAGAUGGAUCCGCGCCGCAUUAGCUAGUUGGUAAGGUAACGGCUUACCAAGGCAACGAUGCGUAGCCGACCUGAGAGGGUGAUCGGCCACCCUGGAACUGAGACACGGUCCAGACUCCUACGGGAGGCAGCAGUAGGGAAUCUUCCGCAAUGGGCGAAAGCCUGACGGAGCAACGCCGCGUGAGUGAAGAAGGUCUUCGGAUCGUAAAACUCUGUUAUUAGGGAAGAACAAAUGUGUAAGUAACUAUGCACGUCUUGACGGUACCUAAUCAGAAAGCCACGGCUAACUACGUG
rnacentral:rRNA from 1 species